UUGUGAGGGGAAAAAACUCUUUUCUUCUUUUUUAAUUCUGAGAAAUUUUUUUUUUUCGUUUUCACGCCAUGUUGUAAUUACCAUAAUUACGAGAUUUCAACUUGUAAAAGGCAUUCACGUCCUCUUAGAGCUCGUAAUUAUACCGACGGGACGGCGGAUGGGAAGAUUUCCAGAGAAAUGAUGACUUAAAUUUGAGUCUGUUCCUCAAAUAAAUGACUUUAUAUAUGACUUAAUAUCAAAACAUGACUUCCCACUCCAAAACAGUCAAUUAAAGGGAUAGUUCACCCAAAAAUAAGCUGGGAAUUUAUGACCUGACCGUUGCAGAUUCAUUUAGGUGUUGAUAGUACAGCUACUGUGCUUUUAUGGUGCUUUUUCACAUUGGUAAUGUCAGCCUCUUUCAUUUUCAAUGUAUUCAAAAGAGUAGGAACAUUCUGCUAAACUUCUCUUUAUGUGUUUCACAGAAGAAAGUAAGUCAUGUCAGGUUGGAACGACACGAGUGAAAGUAAAUGAUGUCAGAAUGAUCAUUUUUGGCUGUACUAACUUUUUAACUGCUCAUAUAUUGUGUGACUCAUCAUAAAAGACCCUGAUAAACCACUGGAACCAGAACCACACUCGGACAGGAGGUGAUUCAGGCUUUGGAUGGAUCAUAAAGGUGCUGUGAAGGUGUAAUUGCAUCAUCAGAACUGAUAAACCGGCUCAAGAAUCACUUUGCAUUGGAGACAUGCAGCUGAUGCAUAAAACCCUCUUCAUUCAGAAUGAUUAAAUCCAUUCACUGCCCCCAUGAGAGCGUGUCAAAACUACAACCAUUAAUAUGUAUGAACUACACUGAUGUGUGACAGUGUCAAAAGAUGUUAAAUUAAUUGAAGGGUAUUGAAGUGUAUUAACUGAUAAAUCUGUGAAGUAUUGUGUGUUCAUGUGUACUUGCCAUGUUGAUUAUAUUGACCACAUUAACAAUAAAAUGUGCCUUAUUGGUAUCAAAAGUAUCUGGUGUGUCACAUUACACUAUAUUGUGUAUUUUGGCACCGCUUUAGCCUUACUGACCAUUUUGAAACCAAAUUAUCCAUGCUAUAAUUGGUCUAGAGACAUUGGAAGAGCAGCAAGUUUGUAUAUGUGGAAGUGCAAAGGCCGACGGGAAGAUUUCCAGAGAAAUGAUGACUUAAAUUUGAGUCUGUUCCUCAAAUAAAUGACUUUAUAUAUGACUUAAUAUCAAAACAUGACUUCCCACUCCAAAAGAGUCUAUUAAAGGGAUAGUUCACCCAAAAAUUAAAAUUAUCCCAUACUCACCCUCAAGCCAUCCGAGGUGUAUGUGAAUAUAUUCUUUCAGACGAAAACACAGAUAUAUUUAAAAAUAUCCUGGCUCUUCCAAGCAUGAUAAUGGCAGUGAAUGGGGGAGCAUGAUUUUGAAGGCCAAAAAAAUGUAUCCAUCCAUCAUAAAAAAUAAUCCAUACGGCUCCAGGGUUUAAUAAAGGCCUUCUGCUGCAAAUUGAUGCAUACGCUGUCUACCAGAAGCUAGUUGUUAUAGUUAAUAAAGUUUUAAUUAUGGAUAUUUUUCUUUCAAAAAAACCAUUGCUUCAGAAAGCCUUUAUGUAACCCAGGUCAUUAACCUAGGUCACUAGCAUUUAUUUGCAAUUUUAUAUAACUAUUAUUGUUAUAAAAUAUAUAAAUAUAUAAAAAAGAAAGAAGAAAAAUGCAGUAAAAUUGCUUUAUAAAUUAAAUUUAGAAAUGCUCUUGAGCCGAUUGCUCAUUGGUGAGGUGAAAAGUUAGUUCCGCCCCUUGUCCGAAAGUUAGCGGACAAGCAGGCAGAACGUGAGAAGACGCAGUUGCACAAAUUGUGAUUAGAAUCCUUUGUUUAAUAAUCCAGCGAUAGAUUAUUAACAAAUUGAAUUUAUAUCUGUGAUUAUAUAACUUUUAGAAACUCGACUGUUUGAGAAUAGUAUUGUGUGGCGACGUUUGAACCGGACAUGACGAGACUGACGCAAUAAGAUAUAAUAUACAUCUUUUCCGGGGAGAAACAACUUUAUUUUUGUUUUCUGAUUUAUACUUCUCCUUGACAGCAGCGUUUACACAGAAGGAAAGUUUUGUGGCAUCACUGAACUGAACUGCAUCUGAAACACUUAGUUGGGGCGUUUAGAUACUGAGCUGAGGUUAUGAUGAUGAGAUCUCAAGGGUUCAGCAUCAGCCAGACAUCAUGAGAUACAUCAACACUGCCAUCCAGAGGAGACAACGGGACACAUCUGAGACUGAGAGUAAUUCAUAUGCAUUAAAACACUAUUUGAUGGCUUUGCAUCUGUUAGAUUACAUUGAUAUUUUUUUAUUGGGCAGGGAUGUAUUGCAUAUUAAUUGGUUGAAAAUGUGAAAUAUACAUUUAUGCAUUUAUGACACUUUUAUCCAAAGGGACUUGAGAUGAACGUCCAAUCUGAUUUACAGUGAAUAAUCGAGCAUUUAGAAUAUUAGGUAUGAAAGUAUUUCCAUGCACGAUGCCACACACAGUAGCAGUAACAUUUGCACAUAUAUGUUGAAAGUUUUAAUGUUAAAGACUGCAAACUAGUUCUUUAUAUGGCGCUAAUUGUGAUAAUAAAAUCAAAAUUAGGCUAUACCUUGGUCCUUUUAGAUAUUUCAUGGUACAGAUUACCAUAUCCACAUCAUCAUAUUACCAAGGUACAAGUUAAAAACAAGGUAAUGCCAGUCAUUUUUAUGUUUAGGGUGUUCAGAAAUCCCAAAACGCAAGUAGCGCAACAGCGCCAUCUAAUGGCCGAAGAGAAACAAUGCAGAAAGAAACUGGAAUCACUAAAUUACUCUUGGUGUUCUUUAUUCAUUUAAAUUGCACCUAUUUAAAUAUUCCCACAAUACAUGACAAUAAAUACAUAAGGAUCCCUGUACAUUUCAUCUUGAUCAGCUGCUCAAUGUACUCUGUAUUUACAGUAAGACUCAAUCUACAAACAAACAUGUUACUCCAGGCACCUUGUGUAUCCUGUUGAAAGACACACAAAUACUUGACAUGUUCAAAAAGGGAAAGCAAAACGUGUGUGAACACGUGCUUCGCUCCUGACGAGCCAAAAAAAUGGUUGGCGUUAUUUGGAGCUGCACGUUGUUCCAAAAAAUAUUGCGGGUCUGGCAACAUGUCAAAGUUUAUCUGUAAUACUAUUCAGUACAUAUACAAUACUUUACAAUCCUAAAAUAAUGAAUAUGACCGUCGUUAUAUUACAUUUUAAAACUGCCGUUACAAGCUGUGCACAAACUCAUUGUACAUACGAAACCCAAAAGCGCGGGAACUUGUGGAAGCUCGUUUCCCACAGAAUAAAAAAUGUAAUUGCAACUUUUUUUAAACUCACAAUUCUGACUUUUUCCUCUGAAUUGAGUUUAUAUAUUGCAACUGACUUUAUUUUGACUUUUUUCUAAGAAUUGUGAGAUAUAGACUCAAAAAAGUCAGAAUUGUGAGAUAGGCCUAUCACGGAAUUGCGAGGAAAAAAUAGUCCGAAUUGUGAUAUAAAAAGUCGCAAUUACCUUUUUUAUAAAAACACAUCAGCGCAAUUUCAAGCUCUACAAAGAAAGUUUCACGUCGUUUCACUGCAUGAUAAAUAUGGCUGAAAUGAUGCAAAACACAUGGAAAAGGGUCAAGGGUGGAGAAUAAAUUCUAGGAAAGCAAAGAUUCAGAUUCUGUUCAUGGUUUGUCUGAUUCACAGGUCACCCAAGGGGUUGUAUUUGUACGGAAUGCUGGAAGUGAAGGAAAUGAUGCGCAUGUGGAACAGGUCAGUCUAAUGAUGACCUCAAACUGAGAUGCUCCACAGUGUUCUUCACACGAAACAGACAAGAGGCCUCUGGGAAAUGUAAAGCAUCUCCACUGUAUAAGAAAAUAUGGAAUUCAUGAACAAAUUAAUGAGAUUCUUCUAUCAUUCUGAUGGAAUGAUCUUGGAAAAAAUCCAAAAUCCCAUAUCGAAUAUGGAAUAUGGCUAUACAAAAAAAAUACAGAUAAAAAAUAUAUUCAGAUCGAAUCUCACCUCGUUCCACAAAAUCAUCAAAACCUCCAAAAAUGAGGUAGCUGGUACGUAGAUGUUGGCUGAUUUUUAAUAAAUACGAAUUAUCCUUUCAUUUUAGUAAAAGGAAAUAUAUAAAUAUCGUUGAGUACAAUAGCUCAACAAAUGCGCAAUGCCAAUGCUUUUCUUGAAAGUAAAAAUGAAGGUAAAAUUUCACUUAUACCAAUGUAAAAUUUUAAGCAAUACUGCAAUAUUGUGAUUUUAAACGCCCACGUUACUCAACAUGAAAUUUUUUUACUUAUAAAUUCAAUGCCAUUUUUGAUCAUGUCGGUACACUACUGCAUAGAACCUUUACUCACACACACACACACACACACACACACACACACACACAAUUCAUGAAAUUCACAAUCAAGCCGUGUCCGUAUGAUACACCUAAUUGGCCUAAAGAACUAUGUUAGCAUCAGUAACUACACCAAACCGCUGGUGCUCUAGUGUCUUGGGUUUGGUUAACAUCGCCACAAAUACUGUUCAUGCACUUGCAACCGGAUGCAUCUCUAAUCUAUUAAAACCUUGUCGAACGCCACAGGAUAUGUGACUUUAAGGCUUAUAUAAAGAAAGUUUGCGCAAUCGCUGCAGAACUUCCAUCAAAUACAGUUUAAAAAUACUGAUCUCAAUUUCUAUUAGAGCGAAUCUCACGAAAUCUGUCAAGAACAUGCUUGGGUCACAUUUGAAAUCAUAAGAAAUGUGUAUUUUUUAAAUGCAAAUGAAGCCUAUUUUUAGAAGGGGGAGAAAUGUGCUUAAUUGUCAUUAAAAUAAUAUCAUGAAAGUCUAAAAAUAGGCUUUAUUUUCGUUAUUUUCAGGCUGCAAUUAGGGAUGGGCGGUAUGACGAUAUAUCGUGGUGACUGUAAAAUGGUAAAAUCGUUAUAUCUUGUAUAUUGCGGUAUGUAAAUAAAUAGUGUAGCACAGCACUAUUGACACUUUAAAGUGAUGAAA